rnacentral:rRNA from 1 species
GACGAAGGGGGCUAGCGUUGCUCGGAAUUACUGGGCGUAAAGCGAGUGUAGGUGGUUGUCCAAGUUGGAUGUGAAAGCCUUGAGCUUAACUCAAGAAAUGCAUUCAGGACUGGGCGACUAGAGGACCGGAGAGGAUAGUGGAAUUCCCAGUGUAGUGGUGAAAUACGUAGAGAUUGGGAAGAACACCAGUGGCGAAGGCGGACUAUCUGGACGGUUUCUGACACUAAGACUCGAAAGCGUGGGGAGCAAACAGG